AUGGUGGGCUUGACCAAGAUCGCCAUGGAAUGGCUCCAAGAUCCGCUCAGCUGGCUGUUCGUUGCCUCGGUGGUCUUCGUGACGCUGCUGCAGCGGCGGCGGCGGGGCAGGGCGCCGCCGCUGCCUCCAGGGCCGAACCCGCUGCCGAUCGUCGGCAACAUGUCAAUGAUGGACCAGCUGACGCACCGGGGCCUCACAGCGCUGGCGAAGAAGUACGGUGGCUUUCUCCACCUCCGCCUCGGCAAGGUCCACGCCUUUGCCGUGUCGACGCCGGAGUACGCCCAGGAGGUGCUGCAGGUGCAGGACGCUGCCUUCUCCAACCGGCCGGCUACCCUCGCCGCCACCUACCUCACCUACGACCGCGCCGACAUGGCGUUCGCGCACCACGGGUCCUUCUGGCGCCAGAUGCGCAAGCUGUGCGUGAUGAAGCUCUUCAGCCGGCGCCGUCCGGAGACGUGGCUCGCCGUGCGCGACGAGUCCGCGGCGCUCGUCCGCGCCGUGGCCCGGCGGGGCGGCGAGACCGUGAACCUUGGGGAGCUCAUCUUCAACCUCGCCAAGAACGUCACCUUCCGCGCCGCGUUCGGCGCCGGAGCCGCCGGCGACGGCGGGAGACAGGAAGAGUUCGUCGACAUCCUCCAGGAGUUCUCCAAGCUCUUCGUCGAGUUCUGCAUCGGCGAUUUCAUCCCGUGGCUCAGCUGGGCGGACCCGCAGGGCAUCAGCGUGCGCCUCCGCGCCGCGCGCGCCGCGCUCGACCAGUUCAUCGACAAGAUCAUCGACGAGCACAUGAAGAGGGGAAGGAACCCCGACGACGUCGACGCUGACAUGGUGGAUGACAUGCUCGCGUUCCUUCCUGAGGCGAGAACCAAGAAGCCCGCCGGCGACGGCGGGGACGACCUCCAGAACACGCUCCGCCUCACCCGUGACAACAUCAAGGCCAUGAUCAAUGAUGAUGGACGUGAUGUUUGGCGGGACGGAGACGGUGGCGUCGGCGAUCGAGUGGGCAAUGGCGGAGAUGACACAUUGUCCUGA
rnacentral:rRNA from 1 species